GCCGGCCCCGGAUGGAACUAAGCCAUGCGAGUCAUUGUAGUAAUACAAGGCAGACGGCUCAGUAACGCGUAAUCAAUCUACCCUAUGGACGAGGAUAACCUCGGGAAACUGAGAAUAAUACUCGAUAGAACACUAUGCCUGGAAUGGUUUGUGUUUGAAAUGAUUUAUCGCCGUAGGAUGGGACUGCGGCCUAUCAGUUUGUUGGUGAGGUAAUGGCCCACCAAGACUAUUACAGGUACGGGCUCUGAGAGGAGUGGCCCGGAGAUGGGUACUGAGACACGGACCCAGGCCCUAUGGGGCGCAGCAGGCGAGAAAACUUUGCAAUGUGCGAAAGCACGACAAGGUUAAUCCGAGUGGUUUCUGCUAAAGAAACCUUUUGUUAGUCCUAGAAACACUGAUGAAUAAGGGGUGGGCAAGUUCUGGUGUCAGCCGCCGCGGUAAAACCAGCACCUCAAGUGGUCAGGAUGAUUAUUGGGCCUAAAGCAUCCGUAGCCGGCUAUGUAAGUUUUCGGUUAAAUCUGUGCGCUUAACGUACAGGCUGCCGGGAAUACUGCAUAGCUAGGAAGUGGGAGAGGUAGACGGUACUCGGUAGGAAGGGGUAAAAUCCUUUGAUCUAUUGAUGACCACCUGUGGCGAAGGCGGUCUACCAGAACACGUUCGACGGUGAGGGAUGAAAGCUGGGGGAGCAAACCGGAUUAGAUACCCGGGUAGUCCCAGCUGUAAACUAUGCAAACUCAAUGAUGCAUUGGCUUGUGGCCAGUGCAGUGUUGCAGGGAAGCCGUUAAGUUUGCCGCCUGGGAAGUACGUACGCAAGUAUGAAACUUAAAGGAAUUGGCGGGGGAGCACCACAAGGGGUGAAGCCUGCGGUUCAAUUGGAUUCAACGCCGGG
rnacentral:rRNA from 1 species